GUCUAGCAGCAAUAUCGAAGUCUGAGUCUUCUCCCUGCUCCUUAGUGGGAAGUGAUGGCAGAGUCACUGUGCAGUGUGACUCCCUAGAAUGACCGUGACUGAGAGUGCUGCCUUCUCAAAGCUUGGUUUGGACGAAGCAUUUAAGAUACAGCAUUGAAGGGACUGUGGAGACUUGCACCAUAGUUCUGUUGAGCUGAUCUGGUCAGGCAGCGUGUGAAGGGUCUGAGUCCUCACGAAGAGAAUGCGCUGUGUGAAGCUGUGAAGGUCCCUCACCUUCUCCAUCUCAGCCAAGAAGGCAUCAGUCAGGUCUCUGGGUGGCUGCACAGGGUCCCAA